rnacentral:rRNA from 1 species
AGUGGCGGACGGGUGAGUAACACGUGGGUAACCUGCCUAAAAGAAGGGGAUAACACUUGGAAACAGGUGCUAAUACCGUAUAUCUCUAAGGAUCGCAUGAUCCUUAGAUGAAAGAUGGUUCUGCUAUCGCUUUUAGAUGGACCCGCGGCGUAUUAACUAGUUGGUGGGGUAACGGCCUACCAAGGUGAUGAUACGUAGCCGAACUGAGAGGUUGAUCGGCCACAUUGGGACUGAGACACGGCCCAAACUCCUACGGGAGGCAGCCGUAGGGAAUCUUCCACAAUGGACGCAAGUCUGAUGGAGCAACGCCGCGUGAGUGAAGAAGGUCUUCGGAUCGUAAAACUCUGUUGUUAGAGAAGAACACGAGUGAGAGUAACUGUUCAUUCGAUGACGGUAUCUAACCAGCAAGUCACGGCUAACUACGUGCCAGCAGCCGCGGUAAUACGUAGGUGGCAAGCGUUGUCCGGAUUUAUUGGGCGUAAAGGGAACGCAGGCGGUCUUUUAAGUCUGAUGUGAAAGCCUUCGGCUUAACCGGAGUAGUGCAUUGGAAACUGGAAGACUUGAGUGCAGAAGAGGAGAGUGGAACUCCAUGUGCAGCGGUGAAAUGCGUAGAUAUAUGGAAGAACACCAGUGGCGAAAGCGGCUCUCUGGUCUGUAACUGACGCUGAGGUUCGAAAGCGUGGGUAGCAAACAGGAUUAGAUACCCUGGUAGUCCACGCCGUAAACGAUGAAUGCUAGGUGUUGGAGGGUUUCCGCCUUUCAGUGCCGCAGCUAACGCAAUAAGCAUUCCGCCUGGGGAGUACGACCGCAAGGUUGAAACUCAAAGGAAUUGACGGGGGCCCGCACAAGCGGUGGAGCAUGUGGUUUAAUUCGAAGCAACGCGAAGAACCUUACCAGGUCUUGACAUCCU